rnacentral:rRNA from 1 species
GACGAACGCGGCGGCGUGCUUAACACAUGCAAGUCGAACGAAGAGCGAUGGAAGCUUGCUUCUAUCAAUCUUAGUGGCGAACGGGUGAGUAACGCGUAAUCAACCUGCCCUUCAGAGGGGGACAACAGUUGGAAACGACUGCUAAUACCGCAUACGAUCUAAUCUCGGCAUCGAGGAUAGAUGAAAGGUGGCCUCUACAUGUAAGCUAUCACUGAAGGAGGGGAUUGCGUCUGAUUAGCUAGUUGGAGGGGUAACGGCCCACCAAGGCGAUGAUCAGUAGCCGGUCUGAGAGGAUGAACGGCCACAUUGGGACUGAGACACGGCCCAGACUCCUACGGGAGGCAGCAGUGGGGAAUCUUCCGCAAUGGACGAAAGUCUGACGGAGCAACGCCGCGUGAGUGAUGACGGCCUUCGGGUUGUAAAAGCUCUGUUAAUCGGG